UCCCUGGAGCACUAGUGGUUAGGCCACGGCGCUUUCACUGCUGCGGUCUGGGUUCAAUUCCCAGCCAGGGUA
rnacentral:tRNA from 1 species